rfam:Schistosoma curassoni strain Dakar, Senegal genome assembly, scaffold: SCTD_scaffold0005727
GCGCUGAUGAGGAGUCCCACAACAGGACGAAACGGCCGUCCAGUGC